CCUGAAUGAGUAACCUAUUAGACCACCAAAUUCUAAGAUAAAAAAGGUGGAUUCUGUCACAUUGAGCAUGAGUUUAUUCCUUUCAGACAGGAGGCUAAUUAAGGAGUAAUAAAAGGCUAAGGGAGAUUACUAGUACAGGGGGCUGAGAAGGGCAGUAAUCAAGGGUUACUAAUAGAGGCUGUGGUGGGUUAAAAUAGAGAGGUCUAGAGAGGGCACUAGAAGUCUUGGAAAAGUGCUAACAGAUGAGGCUCUGGAGAGACGUAUGUAGAGGAGGCUAGAGAGUGUACUUAUAUAUGUUAAUAUAUCAUAAAGGCGGCCAAAUAAAUAGUAUUAAUACAAGAGGCUGAGAAGUGUACUAAUAGAGGAGCUGUGGCACUUAUAAAGAGGACUGCGACGGUGCUAACAGACCAGGCUGGGGAGAGUAACACUAGAGGAGGCUGGAGAUAGCAUUAAUAGAGGAAGCUAGAGGUAGCAUUAAUAGAGAAGGUUUGAGAGAGUAACACUAGAGGAGGCUGGGGAGAGUAACACUAGAGGAGGCUGGAGAUAGCAUUAAUAGAGGAGGCUGGAGAGGGUACUAGAAGUGCUAGAAGUGCUAAUAGGAGAAGCUGUGAUAGGUACUAAUAGAGGAGGUAGAGGAGGGUAAUAAUGGAGAAGUCUGGAAAGAGUACUAAAAGGAUGGAAAGAUACUGGGAGCUGGCAGACAGGUAAGGCCAAUAUGGGCUAUGAUUUAUGGAGGUCCAUGGCAUCACACCACUACCAUGUAAUAUAGGGAUCAUUACACUAUGAUAUCAAUGAGCUGGACAACUUUU